UCUCUAGCAGCUCAGAUGGUAAAGCAUCUGCCUUCAAUGCAGGAGACCUAGGUUCGAUCCCUGGGUUGGGAA
rnacentral:tRNA from 1 species